AAUUCCCAAAUAAAGAACACGACAAUUUUCUAAACCCAACUUUCAACAAGCCUAGGGAUAAAGUCUCCGAAAAUGGAAUCCAAACGUAAUCGGAGAACAAAGCCGCAUCAGAAUUUUCAAUUAAUUUCUGAAUUCUUCUCAAAGAGAAUCCAAACCUAGUUUCAUCGUAUUUCACCGAAACCCUUUUCACCAUCGCAGUGACGACAGCGAAGUUGAAGAAGUUUGAGAGUUCACCAUCGCUCAUUUCACAGUGACGACAUGCAUUGGUAAAACGAAGCUUUAGAACAGUUGAUAGAUCACUUGAGGAAUGAGUAUGAUAAGGUUCUUUGAACACAACAAUGACUUGGUAAAUGAAUUGAUUUCUGUUAGGUCUGUAUGUAUGUAAAUGAAUUUAUUCCUCUAUUUAUUUAAUUUUACUAAUCAUCUUAAUCUUGAAGAGACUGUCAACUCAGUGCUGUUACUUUGGCCAGAAAUCGUCGGAAUCACACUUAACUCAUCUUGCCGGUAAACUCAGCCGGACUCGGUCAUCCAGAAACGAUAAACAAACUCUUCGCAGGUUUUCCUUCCCCCAAUCUUCUCCAAUAUCGGGCGCAAGGAUUAAGAAGCAUUGAUAUAUUAUUACAGUCGGAGUCACUGCCGUGUGACCAAUGGAUAAUGGAUAUUCCUGUUGUUGAAUCACUCUCUUGCAAAGCUAGAAACUGGUUUAUCAUUCUUGGAAGCUGCAGGCAUGGUUUGCAUCCUAUCCAGGAAUCUCUGGUCCGUACUCACGGUUCACAAUGUGGAUUUUGUACACCUGGUUUUGUUAUGUCCAUGUAUGCGUUACUGCGGUCAAGUCAAACACCGCCUACUGAAGAACAAAUAGAAGAAUGUCUUGCUGGAAGUUUAUGCCGGUGCACUGGUUACAGAGCAAUAAUUGAUAGUCGGUAAUACUGAGGUAGGAAUUGAGAUGAGACUAAAAAGAAUACAAUAUCAAGUUCUGGUUUCUGUAAUGCAUGUGCCAGAACUAAAUCAAUUACACCCAAAACUCAGAAACCCUACAAUUAAUUGAACCCAAAACUCAAAAGUCUUGUGAUCAAUUGGACCUAGAAUUCACAAAUCUUUUUAUUUGUUUCAAGAAAUCUUCACAAAGGCCACUGUUUUUUCUCGAUGUCUCACUGUCACCUGUCUCGCUGUACUCUGUAACGGUUCUUUUUGGUUGGUUUGUAUUUAUGUUGGUUGAGACCGGUCUUUCCGUUCUUACAAGAAAAACCAUAAAUCCUCUUAUCUCCCUCCCGGUCCAGGUCUUUAGCGGCAACAUUCUCACAAUACAAAGCUCACACAAUGAAUUUGUAAGUGAAUCCUCAUCUAUGUAUAGGUCAUAAUACAUCACAAAUCUUAGCUCAAUAUUUAUAUAAUUUGGUUUAAGAAUUUAAGGAUUAGAGAUUUAUAUUUUAAGUUUGUUUUAUUUGUUUGCUUUUAGAUGAGAAUAGGGUUGUUCACCUAAACUAGGAUUUCUAAAGAAUACAUAUUUGUCUCUGUUAAUAAUGGAAAGGAAAUGAGUAGUUAUUUGGCUUUCAAGUGGUGUUGACUCUAAUUUAAGUUAGGUAGUGCUAAGUCAGUAUAUUAGAGUUGUUUUAAGCUUAAAUCAUGGUGGUAUAUGACAUGAUUUUGUCUAUUUUGGGAUUUCCUUGGUCUAUAGGCAUUAUGAUUUAAUGCAAUGGUCUGAUGUUACUUUGGCCAACCAAUCUCCUGUUGUGAAGUUAGUGAUAUACAAUUAUGGAAGCAUCAUUUUUAAUGGUAUUAAGAUUGCUGUGAAGUCAGUCAUAUUAACAUUGACUACAAUAUUGCUUUUUUGAAUUCCUUUUUGUUUGAAAACAACCAACUUGUUUAGUUAAUAUUGGGAGAUGAUCUUUUACAUGAAGCUUACUUGUUGAAAUGUAUGAACUUCAUAAUAUUACCAUACCCAACUUCAAUAGAACUGAUUUUCAAGCAUAAUUAGCCUUAGAAUCGGUCAACUUAGGAAUUUAGAGAGGCUUCAUGUGUCGGAUAAUUACUUUUACGAUUAUCUCCCUUAUGAGAUUUAAUACUUAGCGCACCUAGUAGAAAUUCAUUUGUAGUUUCUUAUAGUACAACUAUUUUAUUUCUCCAAAUAAUGUUGUUGUGUGGAUGUAGUUCAUGUCUUUUAUGAUGAAAUGUCCUCUAUUUUGAUGCAGGAAAAUUGUAUCUAUGUUCUAGUGUUGACUAAGUGUAUGUUUCUAAAUCUAUAUAAUAGUUUUUAGGGUUAAAUAUACUUCACCCCCUGCCAAUGUAGCGAGAUUCGGUUUGCCCCCCCUGAAUUAUUUUUUUUAGCAAAAGCCCCUUAAAAAACCCAAAUCAUGGAUUUACUACUCCUUGUUACCACACCAGCUGACUGGGCAACGAAAGCCUGGACACGCUGGCGCUGACAUGGCAAACCCACCCUCAUAAUACUAGGGUUCAUCUUUCCCUAAUUCCUUCGUCCAGACUUUCCCAGCUUGGUAUCUCCAUCGUCUUCCUUCUCUUGCUCCGCUUCCAUCAUCGCUUCCAUCAUCGUCUUCCUUCUCUUCCCCGUAUUCGUUUUCUUCACUCAGCCAUCUUCCUACCCUUCAGUCAUGGCGGAGAGCAACUCGUAUAGCAGUGUCAACUCGUUUCAAAAUCCAGAUUUACCUAGAUGUGGCUGUGACAGACCCAUGAAGUUGUGGGUGGCCAACACGGUUCAAAAUCGCAAUCGCAAGUUCUGGAAAUGUCGCAAUGCUGGGUCUGUGAAUAGCUGUCAAUUGUUCUUGUGGGAUGAUGAAAUCAGAGACCAUAUCAAUAUGCAUCGGAUGAAACUACCAGAAUGUAAAAGCUGUGAUAUACUAUCAGUGAAGUUAGAGACCGCAACAAACAAAAUUGAGAAGUUGAAGAAGAAGAAUGCAAGUCAGAACAGUGUUAAUAUGAGGCUGAAGAAGACUAUUUUGAUUCUCUGUUUAUUGCUUAUUGGCAUUGUGUAUUACUUAGAUUAAGAGCUCUUUGUUUGACAUUGUGUAUUUUGGUGGCAUUUGGAUGUAUAAACUUGUUGAAUUUAUGGCAAUAAAAUGAGUUAUGUUUUAUGUCAAUUGGAAAUGUGUAAUUUACAUCAAUGAAACCUGUCUGUUAACAUGAUAAAAUUGAUGAACUAAAUCUGAAACUGAUGAACUAAAACUGAAACUUUAACAUAACAAGUGCACCUUAUCAAGGGCAUAAUUCAGAAUACACAUGACAAAAUUGUCUUAGCAAACAUUAGCUUGUCAAAAUAACUGUCUUAGCAGCACACAGAUGCACCAAACAUGUGCUACUCAAAAUAACUGUCAAACUUUAUCCUUACAUUAGUGCACCAAACAUGUGCUAGUCAAAAUAAACAACCUUAGCUAAUCAAAUUAAACAUAAUGAAAUUUCAAGUCUUCUUUGAUGGAGUUCCCUUCUUUGGAGUAGUCUUCUUUGGAGUAUUCUUCUUUGGAGAAUGCUUGGAUGGCUUUUUUGGAGCAAUCUUGGAUGCCCUUUUUGGAGUAAUCUUUGAAGAUUUCUCUUCAUCAAUGUCCAUACAAAUAGGCUGCUCAGGGUUUGAACCUGGACCAGUGAAUGGUUUUGGUUUCUUGAACCAGUUCUCCUUUAUCCUCUCACUUACCCUUCUCCUCACAACUGGUUUGUCAAUCAUCUUUCCCUUGCCCUUGUAGUUGUUGCUUGUUGAUGCCUGAGAAUGGAAGUCUGGUAUGCUGCUUAGCAUGUCAUCAGUUAUAUCUCCAAACAAUGAAUCAGUCUUGGUAUCUUCAUGGAUUUCAUUGUUUGUAGCAGACUGGUUCCCAGGAUUUUGUUGACCUUCUUCAUUGUUUGUAGCAGACUGACUUCCAACAUUGCUAGUACCUUCUUCAUUA